CGGUGCCGGUGAAGUUGUUGGAAUUGGCAUGGAAAAUGGCUAAAUCUGUUAAUCCGUCGAUGAAAUCGUGGAGUGGAAGGGAACCAUUGAUGCCGGAGAGCUUAGCGCCGUUGAAAUCGACGGCGGCGACUGCUUUUUUUUCACGUCCGGUCGCACAUCACAAUUGAAGCCUUUGUAUUUGCAAACGUUGGGACCGUUCCAUGUUUUUGUGUAUCUUUUGCCAUUUUCGUCUGGUUUGAUUAGCUUCUUGAACUUUAGGAUUACUCCAUAAGAUGUUGCGAGCAGUUCGUUUUCGAAGCAGAGGUUGCUGCUCCGGUAACCACAUUUCGACGGUGGUCUUGGCGGUGGUUUUGGUGUUGGUUUUGGUUUUGGUUUUGGUUUUGGUUUUGGUAUUGGUGAUGGUAGUGGUGGUGGUGGUGGUGGUGGUGGUGGUGGAGAUGCUGGAGGUGGACAUUCAGGUUCAGGUGGCGGAGGAGGACAAUCUUCAGGCGACGGAGCAGGAGCUUCACCGCCGCCGCCGCCGCCG
rnacentral:lncRNA from 1 species